AGAAGAGUUGUGGGGAAAAGCCCCGAUCACGUCAACUUCGGCCUGGAGGUUUUUGGAUUUUUGAAGGAGAAAACUGGCUUAUGUUUGUUCAGGUGUUAACAAUUUUGCUGCCACAGUAUAUAAGUUCUCUCUGUGUUGCCAGUUUUCAGUUAUUUUCAUUCUUUUUGGCUCCUUUUGAUGCUUAAAUCUGUUUAAAAUUGCUUUUAUGACAGGUUUGGAGUUAACCUGAUUGCUGAACUCUUUUUGUUCCAGUGCCUACAAUACUAUUCUUCCAGUAAAUGACUAAAAUCGUGAUAGGUACAGGCCAUGGAGUUAGAUGGGAACUUGGGGACUAGCCAACAUUCUGCUCAAAAGAGCAGCCAGAAUUUUGACAGAAAUGCCUGCAGAGGUGAAAGAAAAAUCCCUCAAACUCUUAGAAAAAUGACCGGAUCCAUCUGAUUCAUGGGCCGCGGUCUCACUCAAAAGAGAUAAACCAUCUCAGGGACGGACAGAGAACUCAGGCCAUUUUCAAUCUUGAAUGGCCUGGGCAGACCUACCAUGAUGCACUGCAGCCCCCCUGCUGCUGCUGUCACGCGGAACUUUCGUGGAUCCCUUUUGCCUGGUAAAAGGUAAGCUUUAANAUUUUGUGGAGUUGGGGUGUCAGCNGCAGNGGCAGGGUUCNACCCUUCCCAGGGUGAAGCAGAGUGAGGCNGCUUUGUGAGCAGCACAGAAUGAACGCGACUGGCAGUGAUCAGC
rnacentral:lncRNA from 1 species